rnacentral:rRNA from 1 species
UAAAGGUGCGUAGGCGGCCUGUUAAGUCAGGGGUGAAAGACGGUAGCUCAACUAUCGCAGUGCCCUUGAUACUGAUGGGCUUGAAUUGACUAGAGGUAGGCGGAAUGUGACAAGUAGCGGUGAAAUGCAUAGAUAUGUCACAGAACACCGAUUGCGAAGGCAGCUUACUAUGGUCUUAUUGACGCUGAGGCACGAAAGCGUGGGGAUCAAACAGGAUUAGAUACCCUAGU